AUUUUUUCCUCAUUCCAGGAACUUGCUUUUGAAGUUGAGUAGAAACUCACUGUCAUAUACGAUCAUGUUCAAAGUAGCAUAUUGGAUGUCUUAUGAAUAUUGUCCUCAUGAACAUAAAAGUUGAAGGAAUAUUUCUACAAGUUUGAGCACUCUGGUGACUCUAGUGUGAAACAGCAACAAUGUGUAACCGUCUGUUCUACUCCCCAGUCCUGAGCCACCAUUGCACAGGAGGGUACAUUGUUAUACAAAUUGUGUAUAUAAAGCAUACAGGGUGUGAUAAAAAAAUUCAAUCCGAAGA